GAUUAUUUCCUUGAUUCAUUCUCUGUUGCGUUCUUAGUUAAAUUAGUUUAGAAAUUUUAGAUUAAAACACAUCAUUCCAAUUUGUCGGUCAAAUAAUAAAAAAAUAAUAAUUACUAAUACUUUUAACCCUCGUAGGUACAAUAUUUUUACUCAUCGUAGCUAUACUAUUUUUUGAUAGGUUCGCUUGCCUUUGUCGUAUUUAUAGUUAGUUCAGUGACCAUCAUGAUGGUACUUUGCGCAUCUCUCAAACUUCACCUAACAAAGAACUCAAACAAUUAAUAUCGAAUAUUCAAGAACAUCUAAAAUCUUCCAACAUUCUUGUAAUGGCCCAUUUUUGCUCGGGCCUAUACAAGAACAAAAAAUAAUAAACAGUUUAUACAAGCAAUAAAACAAAGUCCAAGUCCUUGUUACAAUGGCCCACUAUGGCCCAAAAUAAACUACCCAAUUUUCAGAUUACAACCCUAACCUAAUGGCCCAUUGGCCCAAUCCUAAAACAAGCCCAAACGACCCAAAUUUUGGUUUCAAAAAUUGAAACCCUAGGACCAAGCGCCACAGCUCUUCAGUAGGGGUCCCCAGCGCAUCAUUGCCACGUUCGCAACCCUCCGUACGUUGGUUUUACCUACAAAAAAAAAGAAGAAAAAACAACUAACAGAAAAAAGGGCGCAACGGUGUACAGUAAUUGACAGCAAAAUAAUAACAAAUUAUAGCAAAAUAAUUGUAUUUUCUCUUUUUAUUUUUAUUUUUACUUUUUUGGCUAUAAAGCCGAAUAGGGAGAUGUAUAGGGGAUCUUCUUUCUUUUUAUGAAUACAAUAGCAAAAUACGCACACACAAAAAUCGAUAGCAAUCAAAAGCAUUCGAUCUAAAGUUUAAAAGGUUGUUGUUAUUCUUUUUUUGGGAUUUUCUCUUCGUAUUUGUGUAUCCCAUGUGUUUUUUCGUUUAUUUUUAUUGUUUGCAAACCUAUUUUAAAUAAAAAAAUAGAAGGAAAAGGGCUUACCUGAAUUCACACUGUGAAUCGUCGACAGAGACGAAGGUGCGAGGCACCGAUGACCCUCAGGAGCGGCUCCCCAAUAGGUCGAAACCCUAGCAGAGAGAUAAGGAGCAUACUGUUUUUUUAAAGAAGCAAACAAGAGACUAAAGGAAAUUUAGCUAAAAUUUUAGUUUUAUAUAGCUUUUGAAAAGGCACCGUUUUUGUGCCUUAGUUCUGGACGCCAAACGACGCCCUUUAGGCGCCAGACCCGUGCGACCUGACCCGUCACUCUCAGGAUCCGGGUUUUUUUGUGGUGAAGGGAUAUUUGCGCGAUGAGUCCCUCCCCUCCUGCACUGAGCCUUAAUUAGGCCCCACUUAUGUUUUAUUUAUUUUUACAUUUUCCCUGGGAUUUACGCAUCGUUUCAAUUUAAUCCUUAUUUAAAUGCCGCGUUUCGAGAUUUGGGAUAUUUGUAUUUUAAAUCAUUGUUCAUUUGUGCUCAUUUCAU
rnacentral:lncRNA from 1 species